UCGAGAAUCUUUCGCAAUGGGGGAAACCCUGACGCAGCGACGCCGCGUGAGUGAGGAAGGCCUUCGGGUCGUAAAGCUCUGUCAAAGGGAAAGAAGUGCAUGGUGGCUAAUACCUGCCAUGUUUGACGGUACCCUUAAAGGAAGCACCGGCUAACUCCGUGCCAGCAGCCGCGGUAAUACGGGGAUGGCGAGCGUUACUCGGAUUUACUGGGUGUAAAGGGCAGGUAGGCGGUUUUGCAAGUUGAAGGUUAAAUCCUCUGACUCAAUCAGAGAACUGCCUUCAAAACUACAUUACUUGAGGACUGGAGAGGAGAGCGGAAUUCCCGGUGUAGUGGUGAAAUGCGUAGAUAUGCGGAGGAACACCAGUGGCGAAAGCGGCCUCCUGGCCCAUUUCUGACGCUCAGACACGAAAGCUAAGGUAGCAAACG
rnacentral:rRNA from 1 species